rnacentral:rRNA from 1 species
GAUGAACGCUGGCGGCGUGCCUAAUACAUGCAAGUCGAGCGAACAGACGAGGAGCUUGCUCCUCUGACGUUAGCGGCGGACGGGUGAGUAACACGUGGAUAACCUACCUAUAAGACUGGGAUAACUUCGGGAAACCGGAGCUAAUACCGGAUAAUAUAUUGAACCGCAUGGUUCAAUAGUGAAAGACGGUUUUGCUGUCACUUAUAGAUGGAUCCGCGCCGCAUUAGCUAGUUGGUAAGGUAACGGCUUACCAAGGCGACGAUGCGUAGCCGACCUGAGAGGGGGAUCGGCCACACUGGAACUGAGACACGGUCCAGACUCCUACGGGAGGCAGCAGUAGGGAAUCUUCCGCAAUGGGCGAAAGCCUGACGGAGCAACGCCGCGUGAGUGAUGAAGGUCUUCGGAUCGUAAAACUCUGUUAUUAGGGGAGAACAAAUGUGUAAGUAACUAUGCACGUCUUGACGGUACCUAAUCAGAAAGCCACGGCUAACUACGUG